AGUGAACGCUGGCGGCGUGCCUAAUACAUGCAAGUCGAACGGAGAUUAAGUAGCUUGCUAUUUAAUCUUAGUGGCGCACGGGUGAGUAAUAUAUAGCUAACUUGCCCAUUACUCAGGGACAACAGUUGGAAACGACUGCUAAUACCUUAUACUCCGUAUCUAUAUAAGUAGAUACGGGAAAGUUUUUCGGUAAUGGAUAGGGCUAUAUCGUAUCAGCUAGUUGGUAAGGUAAUGGCUUACCAAGGCUAUGACGCGUAACUGGUCUGAGAGGAUGAUCAGUAACACGGGAAAUGAGACACGGUCAAGACUCCUACGGGAGGGAGAAGGAGGGAAUAUUGCUCAAGGGGGGAAACCCUAAAGCAGAAACGCCGGGGGGGGGAUGAAACUUUCCGGAGGGUAAACCCCUUUUCUUGGGAAAAAAUUAUGACGGUACCCAAGGAAUAAGCACCGGCAAACUCCGG
rnacentral:rRNA from 1 species